rnacentral:lncRNA from 1 species
GGUAUACAGUGGUAGUAUAGUUCAGUAAUAAAAAGUAUAAAUGGGUAACUAAUAAUCAAUAUUAUGCAUCAGUAUAAUUUUGGUCAUUCAGAGGCAUCUGGAUUAAGAAACAUUUAGUAAAUGGUAAGGGCAAGAAAUACAGGACUAGCUCCUGGGCAUCUAAGACUAUUGCAAACACUGCCUUGAAGUAGGCAAAAGUGACAUUUAGAACUAAAUCAAGUAACUUGGUACAUAGUGAG